AUGGAGCGCGGCCAAGAAGCGCUGUCCGCAAAGAAACCGGCCGUGGAGGUGACGCUCCGGCGGUUCAGCCUCGCCGACGUGGACGCCAUGAUGGCGUGGGCGUCGGACCCGCAGGUGGCCGCCCCCUGCCGCUGGGAGCCCUACGAGUCCACGGAGCCCCUGCUCGCCUUCAUCCGCGACGCCGUGCUGCCGCACCCUUGGUUCCGGGCCAUCUGCCUCGCCGGCGACGACGACCGCCCCGUCGGCGCGAUCUCCGUGUCACCGACGGACGACGCGUGCCGCGCGGAGCUCGGGUACGUGCUGGCGCGCGCGCACUGGGGCAAGGGCGUGGCCACGACGGCCGUGCGGCGGGCGGUGGCCGCGGUCAUGGUGGUUGCGCGAACCGCUUGUGCCGAUGCGUUUAGGUGA
rnacentral:rRNA from 1 species